CAGUGUCCCCUCCCCUAGUCCUUUACACACACCUGCUAAGCCAGGCCUGGGACCCACAGCUCCAUCAUGUGAGCUGUACACGGCCCGGCAGGUUGAGGUGCUAGGUCACCCCUCACCUUUACAAGGCCUCAGGUCAUACCAUUCAUGCGUGCUCUGGGGCCCUCAGAGCCCAAGCUCCCAGCCUGAGGGUCUAGGGCUGAGGCCUCACCCGCCCAUAGUCCUGCAGUGACCCCAGCUCUGUCAUGAGUCCAGCCGGCUCCAGCCGGGCCAGGAGCAGCUGUACUGGGACACGCUGAAGCAGCUGUCCAAGCACAUCAAGCCCCUGCACCGCGUGGUCAACAAGAUCGACAAGAGUGAAGACAGAAAAAAGGACCUGAGCAAGAUGAAGAGCCUUCUGGACAUUGUGACAGACCUCUCCAAGCAGUCCCCUGAAGACCUUGCCAAAGUGUGAGAUCGCCCUGGAGAAACUCAAGAAUGACAUGGCGGUGUGGUGUGCACCCGGAAGCACAGGCUUGAGGACGAUGAGCGGCAGAGCAUCCCCAGCAUGCUCCAGGGCGAGGUGGCCAGGCUGGACCC
rnacentral:lncRNA from 1 species